ACGAACGCUGGCGGCGUGCUUAACACAUGCAAGUCGAGCGGUAAGGCCCUUUCGGGGGUACACGAGCGGCGAACGGGUGAGUAACACGUGGGUGACCUGCCCUCAGCUCUGGGAUAAGCCUGGGAAACUGGGUCUAAUACUGGAUAUGACUCCACGGUGCAUGUCGUGGGGUGGAAAGCCUUGUGCGGCUGAGGAUGGGCCCGCGGCCUAUCAGCUUGUUGGUGGGGUNAGGGCCUACCAAGGCGACGACGGGUAGCCGGCCUGAGAGGGCGACCGGCCACACUGGGACUGAGACACGGGCCCAGACUCCUACGGGAGGCAGCAGUGGGGAAUCUUGCGCAAUGGGCGAAAGCCUGACGCAGCGACGCCGCGUGAGGGAUGACGGCCU
rnacentral:rRNA from 1 species